CAGUAGCCGCGGUAAAACGUAGGGGGCAAGCGUUAUCCGGAUUUACUGGGUGUAAAGGGAGCGCAGACGGCCAAGCAAGUCUGAAGUGAAAUGCAUGGGCUCAACCCAUGAAUUGCUUUGGAAACUGUUAGGCUUGAGUGUCGGAGGGGUAAGCGGAAUUCCUAGUGUAGCGGUGAAAUGCGUAGAUAUUAGGAAGAACACCAGUGGCGAAGGCGACUCUCUGGUCUGUAACUGACGCUGAGGAGCGAAAGCGUGGGGAGCGAACAGGAUUAGAUACCCCAGUAGUCCCUGUCUCUUAUAA
rnacentral:rRNA from 1 species